GAUGAACGCUGGCGGCGUGCCUAAUACAUGCAAGUCGAGCGAACGGACGCGAAGCUUGCUUCUCGGAUGUUAGCGGCGGACGGGUGUGUAACACGUGUAUACUCUACCUAUAAGUCUGGUAUAACUUCGGGACACCGGAGCUAAUACCGUAUAAUAUCUUGAACCGCAUGGUUCAAUAGUAAAAGACGGUCUUGCUGUCACUAAUAGCUGGAUCCGCGCUGCAUUAGCUAGUUGUUAAGGUAACGGCGUACCAAGGCAACGAUGCAUAGCCGACCUGAGAGGGUGAUAGGCCACACUGGAGCUGAGACACGGACAAGACGCCUACGGGAGGCCGCAGAAGGGAAUGGUCCGCAAUGGGCGAAAGCCUGACAGAGCGACGCCACGUGAGUGAUGAAGGUCUUCGGAGCGGAAAACUCUGUUAUUAGGGGAGAACAUAUGUGUAAGUAACUGUACACAGCUUGACGGUAACUAAUAAGAAAGCCACGGCUAACUACGUG
rnacentral:rRNA from 1 species